GGAGUGGCCCGGAUGGUCGCGGCAGGCGUUUUUCGACCUGUCGAGGAAAGUCCGGGCUGCACUGGGCAAGGAUGCCGGAUAACGUCCGGCGGGGGCGACCCCGGGAAAGUGCCACAGAGAGCAGACCGCCGGGCAUGGCCCGGUAAGGGUGAAAGGGUGCGGUAAGAGCGCACCGCCCCGCGCGGCAACGGGCGGGGGCACGGUAAACCCCAUCCGCAGCAAGGCCAAAUAGGGAAGCAUCCGGCGUGGCCCGCGUCGCUUCCGGGUAGGCUGCUAGAAUGCGCCAGCAAUGGCGCAUCCAGAGGAAUGACCAUCAUCCGUCAUUUGGACGGAUACAGAACCCGGCUUACAGGGCCGCUCCGCUU
rnacentral:RNase_P_RNA from 1 species